rnacentral:rRNA from 1 species
UACAGAGGGUGCAAGCGUUAAUCGGAAUUACUGGGCGUAAAGCGUGCGCAGACGGUUGCGUAAGUCAGAUGUGAAAGCCCCGGGCUCAACCUGGGAAUUGCAUUCGAGACUGCAUGGCUAGGGUGCGGAAGAGGGAAGCGGGAAUUUCCGGUGUAGCGGUGAAAUGCGUAGAUAUCGGAAGGAACACCAGUGGCGAAAGCGGCUUCCUGGUCCAGCACCGACGUCAGGCACGAAAGCGUGGGGAGCAAACAGG